AGAGGAUGACCGGCCACACUGGGACUGAGAUACGGCCCAGACUCCUACGGGAGGCAGCAGUCGAGAGGCUUCGGCAAUGGGGGAAACCCUGACCGAGCGACGCCGCGUGGAGGAUGAAGGCCUUUGGGUUGUAAACUCCUGUCAUGUGGGAAGAAACGCUAUCGUUCGAAUAGGGCGAUAGUUUGACGGUACCACAAGAGGAAGCUCCGGCUAACUCCGUGCCAGCAGCCGCGGUAAUACGGGGGGAGCGAACGUUGUUCGGAAUUACUGGGAGUAAAGCGCGCGUAGGCGGUUUGUUAAGUCAGCUGUGAAAGCCCCGGGCUCAACCUGGGAACUGCAGUUGAUACUGGCCGACUAGAGUACGAGAGAGGGAGGUAGAAUUCCAUGUGUAGCGGUGAAAUGCGUAGAUAUAUGGAGGAAUACCAGUGGCGAAGGCGGCCUCCUGGCUCGAUACUGACGCUGAGGUGCGAAAGCGUGGGGAUCA
rnacentral:rRNA from 1 species